CCCAAGGGGCACAUCCGCGAUCGCCCCGUGAGGCUUCGGCCGAAGCAUCGCGUCCUCAACUCCAGACUCCAGGAGAGGACGCCCCAUG
rnacentral:ncRNA from 1 species